CUUGGCACUGUAAGAAUUCACAGAUGGAUAUCAAAUCGUGGAUUCUUUGGUGCUAAAGA
rnacentral:pre_miRNA from 1 species